rnacentral:rRNA from 1 species
UACGUAGGGGGCAAGCGUUGUCCGGAUUUAUUGGGCGUAAAGAGCGUGUAGGCGGCCAGACAGGUCUGCUGUGAAACUCGAGGCUCAACCUCGAGACGCCGGUGGAAACCGUUUGGCUAGAGUCCGGAAGAGGAGAGUGGAAUUCCUGGUGUAGCGGUGAAAUGCGCAGAUAUCUGCAGGAACACCCGUGGCGAAAGCGGCGCGCUGGAC